rnacentral:rRNA from 1 species
AUGAAGCGGGUGAUGGAGGAGGAGCGGUGCACGGCGGCGCGGACCGACCGGACGUUCCGACCGAUGCGGCGGAAGGAGGCCCUCGACUCUAAGAUGAAGAGGGCGAUGGAGGACGAGCGGUUCGCGGCGGCACGAGCGGACCCGAGGUUCCAACCGAUGCGGCGGAAGGAGGCCAAGGUGGCCCUCGACUCGAGGUUCAUGGCCCCCAUGCUCACGGACCCCAUGUUCGAUUCUUCAGCGGCGCCGGUGGACAAGCGCGGCAGACGCCGCAAGAAGAGCGCCAGGGACAGGGAGAACCCCAUGCUGCAUUACUAUCUCAGCCAAGAGGAGGGGGACGAGGAAAAGACAGAACAAGAGAAGCUGAUUUGUCAAGAGGAGGAUCAUGAGGUGGAAGAAGAGGAUGGGCUAGAGGAAGAAGAGAGUUCCGGCAGCGAUGAUGAGGAGGACGGCAAUGACCAGGUUCCAAAUCCUGUCAUCUUCAUUCCUCUAAAAACAAUCGGAUCUUACAUGUGGAUACAGCAGAUUAUGCAGGCUCACCGCUCAAGUUAUGAUUAUUUUUCAACUUGUGGUGUAUGUUUGUGA